rnacentral:rRNA from 1 species
GACGAACGCUAGCGGCGUGCCUAAGAAAUGCAAGUCGAGCGAGGUUGAGGAGCUUGCUCCGAAAGCCUAGCGGCGAACGGUCGCGUAACACGUAAGCAACUUGCCCUGAAGUGGGGGAUAGCCCGCCGAAAGGCGGAUUAAUACCGCAUGUGGACACUUGAUCGCAUGACCUGGUGUCCAAAGCAGCAAUGCGCUUCAGGAUGGGCUUGCGGCCUAUCAGCUAGUUGGUGUGGGUAACGGCCCACCAAGGCGACGACGGGUAGCUGGUCUGAGAGGAUGGUCAGCCGGACUGGGACUGAGACACGGCCCAGACUCCUACGGGAGGCAG